UCCGCGCCCCCCCCCGGCUCCUCGGAGGCUGCAGCAGCUGCUGGUACCAGGACCUCCUGCUCCCUGCCCUGCUCCACACAGCCUUGCAAAGGAGAUUUUGGGAAGGUGUGACCCGAGAUUUCAGCUGGAUAAAGGCAAAAAAAUAAUGGAAAAGAAGAAGAAAAGAAAGGGAAGAAAAUGUGGGAAGGCAGGAAUCUGCCUGGACUGUUGCUGGGAUUGAAAUGAAACUAAAUGAAACAGCAAAUGUAACUAAAAGGUGAAUUAGAGGCAGGGAAAGAAAAGGAAGAAAGAGAAAAGAAAGAAAAAGGAAAGGCAAAUAAAGGAAAGGAAAAGGAAAUAAAGGCAAAUAAAAAGGAAAGGAAAGGAAAAGGAAAUAA